AAGUAAGGAAAAAAGCAACAGUGCAGACCCAAAAAAGACAGGGACAGAAGUAAUAAUGAUAAGAGCAGGAGUAACAAAACAGAAUUUUAAAAAGCCACAGGGGACUAACACUAAACUAAAUCUGAGCACUCCCAGUUUUCUCAUCUAUAGAAAGGAGGGGAUAGUAUUGACCUCAAAGUAAAGGUGUGAGGGACACAUGCCGUAAUGGGUGCAAAAGGACUUUGUGAACCGCCGAGAACUAUUCGCAUGCACUUCCAUUUUUAUUUUGUUUAUUCAACACAUAUUUACUAAUUACCUGUUCUGUGCCAGGUGACUUGUCUGGCUGUGCGGGUACAAUGCCUCCUUGGACCUUACUCUCUAUAGGAGUUGUGGAUCUUAAGCGGGUCACUGUAUGCUGUGCAGGAGAUGUGCACUGUGUAAGGAGAGCGCAUGGUGGAGAUAUAGCCUACUCAAGGAUGUUAGGAAAGUUUGGCUGGAAAAUGAGGUUCAAGCAGAGAUCAGGAGGUGGAGUGGAGGGAGAAGUACUGUGAGCAAAGGGAAGACCAAGUAUGUGUGUAAAGAGCAGGAGGCUGGGCCCAAAGUGUGUAGUGUGGUGGGAGAUGGGGUUGCAGGUGCUGGAAGGAGCUGUGCAGGCUCUCAUAGGCCGUGUUUGGGUUCUUGCAUUUUAAGAGCAAUGAGAAACUGUUCUGUUGUUUUAACCAGGGGACAGGAUGGAUUGGAAGGAGACAGAAUGAAUGUAGGGGAUUAUUUAUAAGGCCAUGCAUGGUCCAGGUGAGAGAUGAGAUGACAGUGGCUUGAAUUAAGAUGACAAAGGUAGAGAUGGGGAGAGGUGGAUGAACUUGAGAGCUAUUUCAAGGAUAAAAUCUAAACGCAUACCCUGGAGUUCAGGGACGUGGAUUAGGACACCCUACUGGAUCCCAUGGAGAAGGAUGAUUCAAGGGAUAUCUCCCUGGGGGGGUGUGGUUCUUGUUUGUGGACCCACUGGUUUAUUUACCAGAACAUGGCUCUUCUAUGCUAUCGUUUUUGCAUCUUGGGUCAAAAGACAACAAGGUUGCUGACCAGGUGGCCUCUGGUCUGGCAUCCUCUGGCCAGGCGGGUCCUGCUGCACUUGACUGAGAAAGCUGGCCGCUCGGACUACUGCUACAUUUGGUUGAAAUUUCUUUUUCUUUGUAACCUAGUAAUGCAAUAUACCUGGAGGUCCAUUUAUAUUAUUAAGCUUUUAAUACAUUUCAUAAGUAAUAUCCUACUUACUGAAAACAUUUACUGUUUAGGAUUUUCAUUAGAUCACUUGGAUAAAUGCAGAAUUCCCUUAAAGUUGACAACAAUGAGGAAACUUACAAAACAAGUGAUUUGUCAAAAGCUGAAAUCUGAAAAAUUAUGUUAGUUUUGGAGGUCUAGGUAAUUAAUACGGUUUGGAAAUAGAGGAUCUUAGUGGGUUAUAAGCACAGUAUAUAUUCAUGAAUCGGGCUUUCUGGGAAGAUGUGCCACACACUCAACAGACCUGAUUUCCUUUCUUCCUGCGACUGCAUUUCCCAGCCUCCCCUGCAGCUAGGUAAGAUCAUGUAAUGGAAUUCUGGCCAAUGGAAUAUGAGUGGAGUUAAUGUGGGUAACCUCCAUGAUGGGCAAAGAAACACCUCCCAGGAAAAAGUCUUGAUUUUUCCUCAUGUCUGCUGACUACAUAUCGACUCUUGAAUAGACUUGAGUAUCUGCUGUUGAAGGAUGCAGAGGCUCUGUCAGCCUGGGCCCCUGAGUGACUUCAUGGAGUAUACCAUCUCUCCAACUGGAUUUUAUCUUUCAGUGGUUCAGUUUUUCUCCACUGUUUCCACCAAAAUACCAUCAACAGUAAGGAAGAACAAUGUGGACCACCAGAAGGCUGGAGUGUUUUCUGAAGCUGCUCCUGCUUGGACUUUGGUUGGAAGUCGUGAUUGUCUGAGGGUUCAUGCUGGCGCUCCCCCAGUGAACCUAGCUCACCUACCCUCUGCUCUGGCUCUAGUCUCUCUUCCCUUCUUCUAAGGGAGGCUACUGCUGUGCUCAGUGCGGAGCUGGGUUCAAGGAGAGCUGGGGCUCUGAAGGAGUCGUGGGGAGAAGGCUGACAUGAGUCCUGAGUGAGUGGACCUGCUCUCUCUGGCCCUGAAGGGGUCAAGAGGCAACUGGGUGUGUGGGCUGAGUCUUUCCUGGCCCUGAAGCUGGAAGUAGAGGCUUUGUGCAGGAUCCUCAGCAGGGGACUAAAAGCCUGUGCUUUCAUAACCCGAGCCACACUGGCAAGUGCGCUGCCUCCUCCCACCUUUGAGACAGUUGCCUUCAGGAGCACAUCUACCAGAAGCCAACAAAGAAAAGCAACAGCCUCUUGGAGGGGCCUUUCUCCAGGGAGAGAAGGGUGAGGCAGCACAGGCAGAGCUGGUGUAGGAGACACAAGACAGUAUGAAUUUCAAAAUCAGAGCAUUGAAGGAGAUUCAAAUAUGGCACAAAAAGAGUUUCUGGAGCUAAAAAUCAUAAUUUCCUAACUAAAUACCAUUCAGUAGAUUAACUGAAAAAGUGGAAGAUCACCGUGAAGAUAUGGUCAGCUCUCCUGGAGGGUCAAAGGGCAGACAGACCCCUUGAUGAAAAGGGUGGUAUAGAGCAAAUGUAGAAAGAGAUGGGAAGCAAGUAGAAAUGGGUAAGGAACAUGGGAUGGAUCCUAAAACCUUGACUUGUGAAUAGAGAAACCUUGACUUGCAGAAAGAGGAAAAAAUAGAACCAACGGAGGAGAGGUGACCAUGAUACUAACAAUAAAAGAAAACUUCCCUGAACUGAA